UUGCUUGCGAUGAUCGGUGUAGUAACUGGAAUUGCUCAGUCCAUUGAUGAUAAGAGUAGAAGACAACGCCUGAUCAAGUGACAGUGGUAUCGAAUCUUUAUUUGCAUUCCUUUUUCUUUUUCUGGUGUAAUAAGAGAGAGACUCAGAGUUCACAUAUUUGCAGGAGGCAAGAUGAUAAGUUAGCAUUUGAGGGAAUUUUGUCAAGGGAAAAAGUUUUUUAUUUAUUUUCAAGCUGAGCUCAGUUGAACUGCGGCAAGAGAAAUUGGCAUUAUUAUUCUGGUAAAUUGUAAUGUUUGAGCUCUGUAAACAUUAGAAAAAUCGGCAGUCACUUGUUUGUCAUAUGCCCUUGUUCUGCAAGUGCCACAUUUCACUCUCAUUGUGAAGAUGGCCUAAAUUCCAAAAUUUGCUGCUUAAUUAUACGAAUGGUCAAACACAUGUGUACAUGAUUGGUUUGCUGCCCUUGUGUUUACUACUGUCACUGUGCCCUUGUGUUUACUACUGUCAAUUUCCUUUGCCUUUCUGCAUCAACAGGGUUGACCAUAAGUUCAAAUUGCAUGGCAAACAGGUUUUGCAAUCUGCUGCUGAGUACUGACAUGAGAUGAACUUGUAAUACCUGACACAAGAAAGUUCACCCGGCCAUUAAGAUUUCAGUCUGAUAUGACCACAGAAUGCCUAAAUUAACUUUCUUCCUUGUUGAUGCAGGCAUCAAAGAUCAAAGAAGCUUCUGCAAGGUCUAAGCAAAGCUGCCCAUCAUCCGAGCAGGCUCCCACAAUGUGCUUGUUAGCCCAAAGGCCCCCUAACUGAGGAGUGGUUCCGCAAAUCGCAGAAUGACAAGGAGGACAGGACGGGCAGGCGUGCCGCCGAACAAGAUCGGGCAUCGGAACAUAUUGCACAAGAUGUCGCGUGGGCGCGCGCCCUUCCAAGUUCGGAUCCCAGGUGCGUUUUGUCAAAGCGAAAUCCGAACGAUUCUCCUCUUUGGGUGCAUGGUAUUGGAGGCAAAGGCACCCAGCCAAGCACUCUGGCUGCGUACUCUCUGUGACUGAGAGGUCUCUGUUAUCUUAAUCUGAUGUGCGAGCAGCGCGUGCGCUAAUAGUAAUGCCUUCUUUCUGGGUCAAGUAGGUACAUAGCUGGAGGCGUCUCAGUGGAAGAGGAGGAUGCUGGUGCUGUAUAGAAUUCAAUGCAAAGCUGGCUGGCGGCGACGGAUUGUACGGAGACGGAGACGGGCAGCCAAGUCAGUCAAGCAUGCAUGCGCCUACCUGGCUCGCUCGGAAAAGCAGUGUAAAGGAAAAAAAAAGGGUAAAGCGCUUGCUUGCUUGCUGUAGGUGCUAGGCUUCCUUGGUUUUCUGGAUCCGAAUGAUGCUUUUUGGGAUGCUUCCAAACUUUGUUGGACCGCUCAUACUUCAUUUCGAUUCAAGGGCAAAACAUUUCCUAGCUUGCCAUUUCUUAUUUGGUGUUGUAGCUUGCCUUUUAAUUAGAACAAUUGGUGUCGUCCAUGCAUCAACAUAAGGAAAAGGCGAUCUGGAACGGCGCUUAGCCAUGCUGACACACACUACACCUAAUCUUGCUCAUUAGGUUGAAAUAUACAAUCACCAGAUUGGUAACUAGAUCAGCCUCUUCGUACGUAAAAUGUAACAUCCAGAUAAGGUCGGGGCGGAGAGAAACAAAUGUGGCUANNNNNNNNNNNNNNNNNNNNNNNNNNNNNNNNNNNNNNNNNNNNNNNNNNNNNNNNNNNNNNNNNNNNNNNNNNNNNNNNNNNNNNNNNNNNNNNNNNNNNNNNNNNNNNNNNNNNNNNNNNNNNNNNNNNNNNNNNNNNNNNNNNNNNNNNNNNNNNNNNNNNNNNNNNNNNNNNNNNNNNNNNNNNNNNNNNNNNNNNNNNNNNNNNNNNNNNNNNNNNNNNNNNNNNNNNNNNNNNNNNNNNNNNNNNNNNNNNNNNNNNNNNNNNNNNNNNNNNNNNNNNNNNNNNNNNNNNNNNNNNNNNNNNNNNNNNNNNNNNNNNNNNNNNNNNNNNNNNNNNNNNNNNNNNNNNNNNNNNNNNNNNNNNNNNNNNNNNNNNNNNNNNNNNNNNUUUUUGCAUAGAGCUUCUGUAGCAAAUUGUCCGUGAUGAGAGUGGAUAACAGCCGACACUGACGAGGAUCUGGCUUGUAUUAGUGUGACACCUGAAUAAUUAAGCUACGUGAACCUUCACAAAUGAUGCCACGUCACCUCGGUUACUGUUGAUAAACUCGCGUUGGUUUGAAACCGAUUCAAAUUCAAAUUCAAAAUCAAGUCAAACGGUAAAGUCUUUCAAAUAUUAAAACUAAAAUAUUCGGGUCCAAAUAAUGCAUAGGUAAUUAUGGUGGAGAAACCACCGUUUUAUGAAAGGAGUAAAUAAUCUAAAAUGAAUAAAAACAUAGAAAACCAAUUAUUUAAAUGAUUUUAAAUAAUAAAUAAAUAUUAAACUAGUUUAUUUGACCACCAAACUUUUUAUGGUAGAGAGUUGUUUCGACCUUAUUUUAGGAGCUAUGGUCAUAUUUUAUAAAAAUUAAAAUAAACUGUGACUAAAAUAAAACAGAAAAUAAUAAAUAAAAGGAAAGAAAAACAAAGAAGCAAAAAAGGGAAUAACCCCCUCUCCCCGCUGGGCCUCGGCCCAACUAAUAGGCCGGCCGGCCCAACCGGCCACCCUGCUCGCCUGGCCUACUAAGACCCCGCUACCCCCACCGUGACCUAACCCAUUCUCCCACGAUCCCUCCCCCCUCGAUCCACUCCUCCCUCUCCCUCCCCAUUCUAGAUCGGGGCGCUCGGGCGCUCGACCCAGCCGACGCCUUCGCCAUUUCCGCGCACCGGCGCCACCCCAAGCUACACUAGGUUAGGCAGAAGCCUCGCCGCCCUCCCCUACAUCGCUUACAAGGACUAGCUCGAGCUCCUCACCCCUGCAUCAAGCUGCUCGCCGUCGUCUUCCACCUCGGAUCCGGAGAUCACUGUCGUUGCUUCGUCGUCUCCAAUGACUCCCUGUGCUCGCCGAGCCUUCCAUGUGCUCCGUUGUGAGCCCCUAUGCCGAUUCCCCUCCUUUCCCCCCUUCGUUUCGAUGUCGUAGGACAUUGUCACCGUCGCUCCCGAAGCUCCACGCGCCCGCACACCCUCUGUCCGCACUGCGAGCCGCCGUCCAUGCACUGCACGUGCGCGUGCACCCAUUGUCGGUGUCAAAACCGGCGGAUCUCGGAUAGGGGGUCCCGAACUGUGCGUCUAAGGUUGAUGGUAACAGGAGGCGGGGGACACGAUGUUUACCCAGGUUCGGGCUCUCUCUAUGGAGGCAAUACCCUAUUUCCUACUUGAUUGAUCUGGAUGAAUAUGAGUAUUACAAGAGUUGAUCUACCACGAGAUCGUAAUGGCUAAAACCCUAGAAGUCUAGCAUGUAUGAUUAUGAUUAUGAUCGGCUCUACAGACUAAGCCCUCCGGUUUAUAUAGACACCGGAGGGGACUAGGGUUGUACAAAGUCGGUUACAGAGAAAAGAAUCUUCAUAUCCGGGCGCCAAGCUUGCCUUCCACGACAAGGAAAGUCCCAUCCGGAUACGGGAGAGAGUCUUCUGUCUUGUAUCUUCACGACCCAACAGUCCGGCCCAUGCUACAUAGUCCGGCCGUUCGAGGACCCCUUAAUCCAGAACUCCCUCAGUAGCCCCUGAACCAGGCUUCAAUGACGAGGUGUCCGGCGCGCGAAUUGUCUUCGACAUUGCAAGGUGGGUUCCUCCUUCGAAUACUCCAAAGCAUCCUUCGAACACAGAAAACGUGUCCGGCUCUGCAAAACAAGUACCCCACACAACCACAGAGAGUACAGUAUUUCACGAGUCCAAUCCGCUGACAACUUUUUGUAGCGUGACAUCACGUCGCCACCCGGCCAUUAUUUCAAACUGUUUUUAGCCUGCCGCUCCAUAUUUUGAGAUGCGAUUUCAUUGCCACGUCUUGUCAAAGCAGAGAUCAUGUCCCCUUAUUGCGGGAUUCUCAUCAAUAGGGCUGUGGGUAACCCAACCGUGCCGUAUGCACGACCCUUGGGGAACAGGCGAGUUUUAAGGUGAGUGGGGAGGCGCUUGAUAUUCACUGCCUUUAUAAAGAGAUAAGGAUUUACCCCUUUCACCCACGCCUUCUCUCUCUGCCUCCCCCAUUCUCGAGCUCCAGCACCCAAGUUCUCAUCUUUUCCGCCCCAAGAAAGCACUCCAACCAUGUUCGGAUCUGGAGCGUAGGACAAGUGGAUGGUCUCCUGCGUCAAGGAGAAGGACAUUACGAAGCUCUGGGAGGCUGGGUAUUUGGCCGAGGAAAUCGCCCACCGGCUUCUGGCCAAGGGACAGAUCGUCCCCACCCCGGAGCCCCAUGAGAGGGUGGUGUUCAUCCCCCACUUCAUCCGUGGGAUGGGAUUUCCUCUCCACCCAUUCGUCCGCGGACUCAUGUUCUACUACGGGCUAGAUUUUCAUGAUCUAGCCCCAAAUUCUUUCCUCAACAUCUCAGCAUUCAUUGUCGUGUGCGAGGCUUUCCUCCGCAUCCCGUCCCACUUCGAAUUGUGGUUAAAGAUCUUCAAUGUGAAGUCGAAGGUGGUGAGUGGCCAACACGCAGAGUGCGGAGGCGCCAUGGUGAGCAAGAUACCCAACGUCACAUGGCCCGAAGGCUCCUUCAUGGAGACCGUCAAAGGGUGGCAGCAAUCGUGGUUCUAUAUCACAGAACCGCGCGACACCACCUGAGCCGCGGCUCCUGAAUUCCAGUCCGGAGGCCGGAUGCGGCUCACCUCAUGGCUAGAGAAGGGCUUGGAUUGGUCUUUGUUGGACGAGCUAACAGCACUUCAGACGCGCAUCAAGAGCACGAUAGACAAGAAUAUCAAGCUUGUCAAUGUGAUCCAGGUGAUGCUUGUUCACCGGAUCCUAUCGUGCCAAAGCCGAACUUGCCAUUUGUGGAAGUAUGAUCCGGCCAAGCACCAGACCUUGCUGCGGUUCCUCGGCACUAUGCACGAAGACAUCUAGAAGGUGCUUUUCAAGUCCAACGAGAUGUGGCCGGAUACGACAGAGGACCGUGGGCACGACUUGGCCCAUCCCGCUAGUCCGGUAAGUUUUUUCAUGUUUUCAAGGUGUAUCCUUUACUUGCAUACUCGAGGAAGAUGCCUAAGCCUCCCUACUGAUUCUCUCAGGGCUGGACAAAGAAGGUGGAGCAGAUUCACUGUCCGGCUCCGCUGCCCGAAGACCCAACAAUUCCACUUCUGACGAAGAUGCUGGUUCCGGCGCCCUAUCAAGCGCCGGAGAAGAAGGCCAAGAAGAAGGCCAAGGAUACCAGAGGUGGCCUCCGUCGCAAGGGUGCUUCGGACGUGACGUCCAAAGACACCGAUACUCACUCUUUUGCCGCCGGGGAUGAAGAGGAGGAGAAGGAAGAAUAAGAAAGCCAUUCCCCCGCUUGGGGGGGGGGGAGAAAGAAAAGGACGACCUCCACGCGUCUGGAGGCCGAAGCGUCCAAGAAGGGGAAGGCUUCCCUCCCGGACAACUCCACAGCGGACACCGACAACAGCUCGGAAUGGCACCCUAGGGAUAAGCCCCUCGCUAAUUCGUAAGUACCCGAAGAUGCACUCAUAUAUCCGGCCAUUUUCCUUCAUGGUUUUAACAUGUCAAAUCAUGUGUUGCAGCCCGGCUCGGUCCGACCUCGAGCGAUCCUCAUCUUCGGGGGAUUCGCUAGACCCGAAGGCGAUGGACUGCAGGUCCCUUCUAGCGGCCUCCUCUCCCAAGGCCAUGGAUGACACCGAGGUGUUAUUUGAUGUCUACUAUGCAACCUUCUCCUUGUACACGUUGUUGGGCCUCCAAGUGCAGAGGUUUGUAAGACAGUAGCAAAUUUCUCUCAAGUGGAUGACCUAAGGUUUAUCAAUCCGUCGGAGGUGUAGGAUGAAGAUGGUCUCUCUCAAACAACCCUGCAACCAAAUAACAAAGAGUCUCUUGUGUCCCCAACACACCCAAUACAAUGGUAAAUUGUAGGUGCACUAGUUCGGCGAAGAGAUGGUGAUACAAGUGCAAUAUGGAUGGUAGAUAUAGAGUUUUUGUAAUCUGAAAAUAUAAAAAUAGCAAGGUAACUAAUGAUAAGAGUGAGCGUAAACGGUAUUGCAAUGCUAGGAAACAAGGCCUAGGGUUCAUACUUUAACUAGUGCAAGUUCUCUCAACAAUAAUAACAUAAUUGGAUCAUAUAGCAAUCCCUCAACAUGCAACAAAGAGUCACUCCAAAGUCACUAAUAGCGGAGAACAAACGAAGAGAUUAUUGUAGGAUACGAAACCACCUCAAAGUUAUUCUUUCUGAUUGAUCUAUUCAAGAGUCCAUAGUAAAAUAACACGAAGCUAUUUUUUCUGUUCGAUCUAUCCUAGAGUUCGUACUAGAAUAACACCUUAAGAUACAAAUCAACCAAAACCCUAAUAUCACUUAGAUACUCUAAUGUCACCUCAAGUACCCGUGGGUAUGAUUAUACGAUAUGCAUCACACAAUCUCAGAUUCAUCUAUUCAACCAACACAAAGUACUUCAAAGAGUGCCCCAAAGUUUCUACCGAAGAGUCAAGACAAAAAUGUGUGCCAACCCCUAUGCAUAAGUUCACAAAGUCACUGAACCCGCAAGUUGAUCACCAAAACAUACAUCAAGUAGAUCACGUGAAUAUCACAUUGACACCACAGAUAAGCACAUGCAAGACAUACACCAAGUGUUCUCAAAUCCUUAAAGACUCAAUCCGAUAAGAUAACUUCAAAGGGAAAACUCAAUCCAUUACAAGAGAGUAGAGGGGGAGAAACAUCAUAAGAUCCAGCUAUAAUAGCAAAGCUCGCGGUACAUCAAGAUUGUGCCAUAUCAAGAGCACGAGAGAGAGAGAGAGAGAGAGAGAGAGAGAGAGAGAGAGAGAGAGAUCAAACACAAAGCUACUGGUACAUACCCUCAGCCCCGAGGGUGAACUACUCCCUCCUCGUCAUGGAGAGCGCCGGGAUGAUAAAGAUGGCCACCGGUGAGGGAUCAUCCCUCCGACAGGGUGCCGGAACAGGGUCCCGAUUGUUUUUUCGUGGCUACAAAGGCUUGCAGUGGCGGAACUCCUGAUCUAGGUUUCUUUCUGGGGGUUUCUGUAUUUAUAGGAAUUUUUGGCGUCGGUUUCACGUCAGGGGGGUCUCCGAGUCGUCCACGAGAUAGGGGGGCGCACCCUCCACCCUCGUGGACGGGACUCUUCUGACCCAAUUCUUUUACUCCGGGGGCUUCUUUUGGUCCAUAAAAAUUCAUCUAAAAUUGGCAUGUCAAUUGGACUCCGUUUGGUAUUCCUUUUCUGUAAAACUCAAAAACAAGGAAAAAACAAAAACUGGCACUGGGCUUUAGGUUAAUAGGUUAGUCCCAAAAAAAUCAUAUAUAAUAGCAUAUAAAUGCAUAUGAAACAUCUUAGAUGGAUAAUAUAAUAUCAUGGAACAAUAAAAAAUUAUAGAUACGUUGGAGAUGUAUCAAGCAUCCCCAAGCUUAAUUCCUACUCGUCCUCGAGUAGGUAAAUGAUAAAAACAGAAUUUUUGAUGUGGAAUGCUACCUAGCAUAUUUAUCCAUGUAAUUCUCUUUAUUGUGGCAAGAAUAUUCAGAUCCAUAAGAUUCAAAACAAAAGUUUAAUAUUGAAAUAAAAAUAGUAAUACUUCAAGCAUGCUAACUAAGCAGUUUAUGUCUUAUCAAAAUAACAUAGCCAAAGAAAGCUUAUCCCUACAAAAUCAUAUAGUUUGGCCAUGCUUCAUUUUCGUCACACAAAAUGCUCCCAUCAUGCACAACCCCAGUUUCAGCCAAGCAAUUGGUUCAUAUUUUUAACGCGCUUCAGCCUUUUCAACCCUCAUGCAAUACAUGAGCGUAAGCCAUGGACAUAGCACUAUGGGUUGAGUAGAGUAUGCUGAUAGGGAUUAUGUGAGAAAACAAAAAAAGGAGAAAGUCUCACAUUGACGCGGCUAAUCAACGGGCUAUGGAGAUGCCCAUCAACUGAUGUCAAUACGAGGAGUAGGAAUUUUCAUGCAACAGAUGCACUAGAGCUAUAAAUGUAUGAAAGCUCAUCAAAAAGAAACUAAGUGGGUGUGCAUCCAACUUGCCUGCUCACGAAGACCUAGGGAAUUUUGAGGAAACCCAUCACUGGAAUAUACAAGCCAAGUUGUAUAAUGAAAAAUUCCCACUAGUAUAUGAAAGUGGCAAAAUAAGAAACUCUCUAUCAUGAAGAUCAUGGUGCUAUUUUGAAGCACAAGUGUGGAAAAAGGAUAGUAACAUUGUCCCUUCUCUCUUUCUCUCUCUUUUUUUAUUUGGGCUUCUUUGGCCUCUUUUUUUCAUCCUUUUUAUUUUUAUUUCUCUCUCUCUCUUUUUAUUUCGUCCGGAGUCUCAUCCUGACUUGUGGGGGAAUCAUAAUCUCCAUCAUCCUUUCCUCACAUGGGAAAAUGCUCUAAUAAUGGAAAUCAUCACACUUCUAUUUAUUUACAACUCAAUACUUAGGACAAAAUAUGACUCUAUGUGAAUGCCUCCGGUGGUGUACCGGGAUAUGCAAUGAAUCAAGAGUGACAUGUAUGAAAGAAUUAUAAAGGUGGCUUUUCCACAAAUACGAUGUCAACUACAUGAUCAUGCAAAGCAAUAUGACAAUGAUGGAGCGUGUCGUAAUAAACGGAAGGUGGAAAGUUGCAUGGCAAUAUAUCUCGGAAUGGCUAUGGAAAUGCCAUAAUAGGUAGGUAUGGUGGCUGUUUUGAGGAAGAUAUAAGGAGGUUUAUGUGUGAUAGAGCAUAUCCUAUCAUGGGGUUUGGAUGCACAGGCGAAGUUUGCACCAACUCUCAAGGUGAGAAAGGGCAAUGCACGGUACCGUAGAGGCUAGCAAAUUUCAGAAGGGUAAGAGUGCGUAUAAUCCAUGGACUCACAUUAGUCAUAAAGAACUCAUAUACUUAUACAAAAGUUUAUUAGCCCUCGAAGAAAAGUACUACUACUCAUGCUCCUAGGGGAAGGGUUGGUAGGAGUUAACCAUCACGCGAUCCCGACCUCCACUCAUAAGGAAGGCAAUCAAAGAACACCCCAUGCUUCAAAUUUGUCACGCAACGUUCACCAUACGCGUAUGCUACGAGACUUGCCAAUUUUAACACAAGUAUUUCUCAAUUUCAUAAUUACCCAACUAGCAUGACUCUAACAUUACCACCUUUAUGUCUCAAAACAAUCAUAAAGAAUCAAACUUCUCAUAGUAUUCAAUGCACUUUAUAUGAAAGUUUUUAUUAUAUCCUUCUUGGAUGCCCAUCAUAUUAGGACUAAUUUUAUAACCAAAGAAAAUUACCAUGCUGUUCAAGACUCUCAAAAUAAUAUAAGUGAAGCAUGAGAGUUCAUCUAUUUCUUCAAAAUAAAACCACCACCGUGCUCUAAAAAGAUAUAAGUGAAGCACUAGAGCAAAUGACAAACUACUCCGAAAGAUAUAAAUGAAGAUCAAUGAGUAGUCGAAUAAUUAUGCAACUAUGUGAAGACUCUCUAACAUUUAAGAAUUCAGAUCUUGGGAUAUUAUUCAAACAGCAAGAAAAACAAAAUAAAACAAAAUGACGCUCCAAGCAAAACACAUAUCAUGUGGUGAAUAAAAAUAUAGCUCCAAGUAAAGUUACCGAUGAACGAAGACGAAAGAGGGGAUGCCAUCUGGGAAAUCCCCAAGCUUAGGCUCUUGGUUGUCCUUGGAUAUUACCUUGGGGUGCCUUGGGCAUCCCAAAGCUUAGGCUCCUUCUACUCCUUAUUCCAUAGUCCAUUGAAUCUUCACCCAAAACUUGAAAACUUCACAACACAAAACUCAACAAAAAACUCAUAAGCUCCGUUAGUAUAAGAAAAUAAAACCACCACUUAGGUACUGUUGUGAACUCAUACUAAAUUCAUAUUGAUGUAAUACCUACUGUAUUCCAACUUCUCUAUGGUUUAUACCCACCGAUACUACUCAUAGAUUCAUCAAAAUAAGCAAACAACAUGAUGAAAACAGAACCUGUCAAAAAUAGAACAACCUGUAGUAAUCUGUAUCAAACGUAUACUUCUGGAUAGUCCUGGCCAUCUCAGGCCUGGCCCUGUCGGCCCACCCAGGCCCGGCCCUAAAAUCCAGGGCCUAGGCCUGAUGGGCUUGCUCAUGGGCCGGGCUUGGGCCUAAGUUUUGAGCCCACCAGCAGGGCCUAGACGGGCUUGGGCAUGGCAUAUUGGCAUUUUAAGGAAGAGGCCUGGCCCACGACCCUAAGCCCUAAGGGCUUUUGAGGGAUUUUUACCAGAUGGGUCGGGCUUGGGCUUGAAAAGUAGGCCCAAUGGUAGGGUCUGGGAGGGCCUGGGCCUCAGUUUUCUACCGUGGGCUUUUUUAGGCCUGGCCCAAGCCCGGACCGGCCCAACCCAUGGCCAGAUAUACUUCUGGAACACCAAAAAUUCUGAAAUAAAUUGCUGGACCUGAGGAAUUUGUCUAUUAAUCAUCUUCAAAAAGAAUUAACCUAAAAGUACUCUCCAGUAAAAAAUGGCAGCUAAUCUCGUGAGCGCAAAAGUUUCUUUUUUUUACAGCAAGAUCGCAUAGACUUCACCCAAGUCUUCCCAAAGGUUCUACUUGGCACAAACACUAAUUAAAACAUAAAACCACAUCUAAACAGAGGCUAGAUGAAUUACUUAUUACUAAACAGAAGCAAAAGGCAAAGAACAACAAUAAAAUUGGGUUGCCUCCCAACAAGCGCUAAAGUUUAAAGCCCCUAGCUAGGCAUGAUGAUUUCAAUGAUAUUCACAUAAAAGAUAAGAAUUGACACAUAAAGAGAGCAUCAUGAAACACAUGGCAAGCACAUUUAAGUCUAACUCACUUCCUAUGCAUAGGGAUUUUGUGAGCAAAGAACUUAUGGGAACAAUAAUCAACUAACAUAGGAAGGCAAAACAAGCAUAACUUUAAAAUUUUAAGCACGUAGAGAGGAAACUUGAUAUUAUUGCAAUUCCUACAAGCAUAUAGUCCUCCCUCAUAAUAAUUUUCAGUAGCAUCAUGAAUGAACUCAACAAUAUAACCAUUACAUAAAGCAUUCUUUUCAUGAUCUACAAGCAUAGAAAUUUUAUUACUCUCCACAUAAGCAAAAUUCUUCUCAUUCGGAAUAGUGGGAGUAUCAUAAGAGACUCGAAUACUAUAAAUUGUUUCCACAUUAAAAGAGUAAUGCUCAGAAAAUGGGUAAUCAUAAUCAUGACAAGUUUUAUAAAUAUAAUCAUCACUAUUUUUUAUAGCAUAAGUGUUAUCACAAUAAUCAUCAUAAAUAGGAGGCAUGCUAUCAUCAUAAUAAAUUUGCUCAUCAAAACUUGGGAGGCUAAAAAUAUCAUCUUCAUUGAACAUAGCAUCCCCAAGCUUGGGACAAACAUUAAUUAUAGAAAAUAAAUUCUCCAACAUGUCAUUCUCAUCAAACAUAGCAUCCCCAAGCUUGGGCGUUUUCAUAUCAUAAGCAUAAUCACUCUCAUCAUUAAUAGUAUGGAUAGCACCAAUAAUAUAGCAAUUAUCAUCAUCACAAUGAGUAACGGGAGCAACAUCAUUUGGGAGGGGUUUCUUUUUUACCUUUGCUUCUACAUCUUUUCUUUUUCUUCUUCGCAUCAUGUGUGGGGUUAACCCUCUUUUUGGAGCUCCUUAUUAAUGAGAUUGGUUGGAUAGAAGGCUCCUCCUCGUUACCCAAUUCAUCAUAAGAAAGAACAGGAGGAUAUUGGGAAAUAUCUUCCCUUUCAUUAGUAUUCUCUUCAUCUUCUAUUUGUUUUCUUGAUUUUAUGUAAUUGGCAAUGUAAGGAUUUUCAAUGCAAUUCACCGCACAAUACAUAUAAAUUUUCUCUAGAUCAAAAUCAAGGACAAACUCUGGAAGAUUCUUAGUUAAACGUUUCAUUUCUUCAUAACUCAUAAGCAAAGUAAGUUGUGCAAUGGAAAUUAAGUCAUCACAAUUUUUGGACAUGAUUCGAUCAUGAAACAAUUUUCAUUGGGUAUUUAAAUGAUCACGUUCAUUGCAAAGUUCACAAGGAUGGCAAAGAAAUUUUAAAUUUUCAGCACAAACUUCUAGCCUCUCUUGCAACGAUUUAGUUUCUAAAUACUUAUGCCUCUUGCAAAAUCUAUCUUCCCUAUUUGGUGUGUACUUGCAAACUCUAUGCACUCCACAAAAGUCGACAUGCUUAUAAGAGACAUUUUCAUCAUGACUAGUGCAAUCAUCAUUAAUACUAUGGAUAUUCAAAGAGUUCAUACUAAUAACAUUGCAAUCAUGCUCAUUAUUCAAAGAUUUAGUGCCAAAACAUUCUAAUGCAUUCUUCUUCUAACACUUUGGCACAAUUAUCGGAAUCCUUAUUUUCAUGAAAGAUAUUAAAAAGAUGAAGCAUAUGAGGCACCCUCAAUUCCAUUUUUUGUAGUUUUCUUUUAUAAACUUAACUAGUGAUAAAACAAGAAACUAAAAGAUUCGAUUGCAGGAUCUAAAGAUAUACCUUCAAGCACUCACCUCCCCGGCAACGGCGCCAGAAAAGAGCUUGAUGCCUACUACGCAACCUUCUCCUUGUAGACGUUGUUGGGCCUCCAAGUGCGGAGGUUUGUAGGACAGUAGCAAAUUUCCCUCAAGUGGAUGACCUAAGGUUUAUCAAUCCGUGGGAGGUGUAGGAUGAAGAUGGUCUCUCUCAAACAACCCUACAAACAAAUAACAAAGAGUCUCUUCUGUCCCCAACACACCCAAUACAAUGGUAAAUUGUAUAGGUGCACUAGUUCGGCGAAGAGAUGGUGAUACAAGUGCAAUAUGGAUGGUAGAUGUAGGUUUUUGUAAUCUGAAAAUAUAAAAACAGCAAGGUCACUAAAGAUAAAAGUAAGCGUAAACGGUAUUGCAAUGCUAGGAAACAAGGCCUAGGGUUCAUACUUUCACUAGUGCAAGUUCUCUCAACAAUAAUAACAUAAUUGGAUCAUAUAACAAUCCCUCAACAUGUAACAAAGAGCCACUCAAAGUUAUUGUAUCAUAUAACAAUCACUAAUAGCAGAGAAAAAACGAAGAGAUUAUUGUAGGGUACGAAACCACCUCAAAGUUAUUCUUUUUGAUCGAUCUAUUCAAGAGUCCAUAGUAAAAUAACACGAAGCUAUUCUUUCCGUUUGAUCUAUCCUAGAGUUCAUAGGAGAAUAACACCUUAAGACACAAAUCAACCAAAACCCCAAUGUCACCUAGAUACUCCAAUGUCACCUUAAGUAUCCAUGGGUAUGAUUAUACGAUAUGCAUCACACAAUCUCAGAUUCAUCUAUUCAACCAACACAAAAUACUUCAAAGAGUGCUCCAAAGUUUCUACCGGAGAGUCAAGACAAAAACGUGUGCCAACCCUUAUGCGUAAGUUCACAUGGUCACCGAACCUGCAAGUUGAUCACCAAAACACACAUCAAGUAGAUCACGUGAAUAUCCCAUUGUCACCACAGAUAAGCACAUGCAAGACAUACAUAAAGUGUUCUCAAAUCCUUAAAGACUCAAUCUGAUAAGAGAACUUCAAUGGGAAAACUCAAUCCAUUACAAGAGAGUAGAGGGGGAGAAACAUCAUAAGAUCCAACUAUAAUAGCAAAGAUCACGGUACAUCAAGAUCAUGCCAUAUCAAGAACACGAGAGAGAGAGAGAGAGAGAGAGAAAGAGAGAGAUCAAACACAAAGUUACUAGUACAUACCUUCAGCCCCGAGGGUGAAAUACUCCCUCCUCGUCAUGGAGAGCGCCAGGAUGAUGAAGAUGGCCACCGGUGAGAGAUCCCCCCUCCGGCAGGGUGCCGGAACAGUGUCCCGAUUGGUUUUUCGUGGCUACAGAGGCUUGCGGCGGCGGAACUCCGGAACAAGGUUUCUUUCUGGGGGUUUAUGUUUUUAUAGGAAUUUUUGGCGUCGGUUUCACGUCAGGGGGGGUCUCCGAGUCGUCCACGAGAUAGGGGGCACGCCCAGGGGGGUAGGGCGCACCCUCCAUCCUCGUGGACGGCUCGGGAUUUUUCUGGCCCAACUCUUUUACUCCAGGGGCUUCUUUUGGUCCAUAAAAGUUCAUGAAAAAUUGGCACGUCAAUUGGACUCCAUUUGGUAUUCCUUUUCUGUAAAACUCAAAAACAAGGAAAAAAGGAGAAACUGGCACUAGGCUCUAGGUUAAUAGGUUAGUCCCAAAAAUCAUAUAAAAUAGCAUAUAAAUGCAUAUAAAACAUCCUAGAUGGAUAAUAUAAUCGCAUGGAACAAUCAAAAAUUAUAGAUACGUUGGAGAUGUAUCAUUGUCCCGAAGGAUCCCAAGCCAGGGAGAGACUCAGGAAGCUGUCAGGGCGGCACCAGAGGGUGGAACCUCAGCCGUCGGGCACAAGAGCAAAUCCCCAUGGAGACUGGCGAUGGGGGCCACAUCCAAUUCAGCCCCUAGCUGAAUACAAUUCCGGAGACCUAUACGGCUCCGGAAUCAGGCAAGCAGCGUCUUUCGAAAGAAGGAGGUGCGCCUAUUCCACCGGCAGCCUCUGUCCAUCCAGAGGCACCGGAUAAUUUGCUGGAAGCCCUGCAAGGCGCUUCCAUUGUUGAGGAACACUGUAUCCUUAUGAGUACGGUGGUUGAGAGGGUGCAGUCUGUUAAGAGCGAACUAACUGACGCAUGUACCAGCCUUCUAACAGGUUUUGAGGUGAGCGACACAGUUAUAUAAAAAGGAAUGUCAUAGUAUAGACAAUAGCCCCUGAGACUCUGUCCGGUGUUCGAAAAGAAAAGCCGAAUAGAGGAUCAAAUAAUUUUCGCAGGAGACUAACCUGACAUGUGUAUAUGAAUAAGUAGGCAUCGUUGCCGGCUGUGACCUCUCAUGCUGCUGAGGUCUCCGUACUGAAGCAGAGUCUGGAGCGGACCGAGGAAGAGCUCGUCCAUGUGAAGAAACAACUGGAAGACAAUCAAGGUAUGCAAUAACCUUGUCUAUAUUCAGGAAGGAUGAAUGAUUUAUGCAGACUAAAGUGCCAUGAUAUUUAUUAGGAGCGGCGACCGAGGUGGAGACCCUCAAGAAGGCGCUGGCCGAGGCCGAGGAGAGAGCAGCCAAGGAACAAGCCGCCCAUGAAAAGCAUGUGGCCAGGGUCGGUGAGGUCCAGCAGGAGCUCCAGGACGCCGUGAAGAAAUGCGAGUCCUUGGAGCGCAACAUUGCGGAUCAAGAGUCCGAACUUUCCAAGGCCCGCCAAAGCGCACAUGAUGCCUGGGUUGAAGCCCAGGGCACCCUCUAGGAAGUCCAGGAUGCCAGAAAAAUCACGGCGGGUAAGACCUUUAUUAUGCAGAUCAAAUAUGUGAAGAAAAGGUUCCUCUUACUGACCUGGAUUUGGAGUUCUCCGGGGGAAUUUGUGGAUCUACCGCGCAACAUUUCAGACGAUGCGGAGUUCUUCCGAGCCGAAGAGGGGAGCUCCACGGAGAAGCUGUUUUGGUCGCAAUACCUUGCGCCAGAACAUCCAGUCCCCUUUAGCGAUCAACUAAAACAGCUGGUCGAACUGCAUAGGGUGGCCGAACUAGCCACGAAGGAUUUAAUAGUUCGGCUAUGGCCUACCGAAGCCAUACCCAGCAACUACUUCGGGCUCGUGAAGCGGCUGGUCAAUGUCUGCCCUCUGCUUGAUACCAUCAAGCAGUCGGUCUGCAUCUAACACUACAAAAAAAGACACAUCCGUGACAUUUUGGGCCGAACGAAAUUUUUUUCUUUCAUACAUAUGACAAUUCUAUGACGAUAAUUGUGACAAAACCCGGUAUCAUCAUAGAUGUGGUGGGCUCCUACUUCUAUGAAAAGAAUCAUGACAAAAAAUGGGCUUUUCGCCCUGGGCGGGCCGGAGACGUAGCUGCAUGACAUUCUUUGGGCCGUCCAUCACGGAAAAAACCGUGGUAGAAGCAAGGGGAAGGAAAAUUUCGGGGAGUUGCCGGUUACGGUGGGAGGUCGGGGUCCGAGCGAUAUGCGCGUUUCUCUCAUACACGUACGCGCGUGUGUGCGAGGCGUUGGCUCUAACUGAACCCGAGCGAGGCAUUGGGCUCUAACUGAACCCGAGCGAUUGCACUGCAGGCUACGCGUUACUGAACCCGAGUGAUCGAUCGAUGGCUGUUAACUGAACCCGGUCGAGCGAUUCCUUCGCUACUGCUGCUAACUGAAGCCGAUCGAUUGGAUGAACAGUGAGCGUUGCGAGGGGGUUUGGAUGAACAGUGAGCGGUGGCAUUGCCUCUGGAUGAACAGGACCCCAUGGUGUGGAGGGCUGGAUGAACAGUAGACGGUGGAGGGGUGGCCGUGGAGGGGUGGUUGAACAGGACCCCGUGGUGUGGAGGGCUGGAUGAAUAGUAGAUGGUGGAGGUGUGCCCAUGGAGGGUUGGUUGAACAGUAGCCAGUGGAGUAGCGCGCGGUGGAGGCUGGAUAAACAGGAGCCCGUGGAGGCUGGAGGAGGUCGACGGUAGCCCGUGGAGGCUGGAGGAGGUCGACGGUAGCCCGUGGAGGCUGGAGGAGGUCGAUGGUGGAGAUGAACAGUAUCCCAUGGAGUCCCGUUUUGCGAUACGCCACACCCCUCCCAAUGAACAUGACCCCCGUUUCGACCGUAGGAGGCCCGUUUCAUCCGUUUUGCGGUACGCCACACCCCUCGCGAUCAACAGGACCCCCGUUUCGACCGUAGGAGGUCCGUUUCGUCCGUUUUGCGGUACGCCACACCCCUCCCGAUCAACAGGACCCCCGUUUCGACCGUAGGAGGUCUGUUUCCUCCAUUUUGUGGUACGCCACACCCCUCCCGAUCAACAGGACCCCCGUUUCGACCGUAGGAGGUCUGUUUCCUCCGUUAUGCGGUAUGCCACACCCCUCUCGAUCAAUAGGACCCCCGUUUCGACCGUAGGAGGUCCGUUUCCUCUGUUUUGCGGUACGCCAGGCCUCGUUUCCAUAGUAUGUUCCGUCCAAGCCCUCCCGAUGAACAUGACCAUGCAUUCCGUUUCGACCGAGCCGGUUGGCUCCCACGCGUUCCAUUGCCUCCCGAUGAACACGACGCAUUCCGUUGCCUCCCCAUGAACACGAUGCAUUCCGUUACCUCCCCAUGAACACGAGCCCUCGCCGUACGUAUGCGCGAGUAGGCGUUCGAGAUCCCGCCCGUAUGUACACAUACGUGGCUGUAUUUUCUUUCUUGCACCCUGGCCGCUGCAGGUACAUGUACAUGCUACGUGCGUGCCUCUACUAUGACACAUGCGCGCCUCUACAUCGACCAGUAUGUAUGUACACGUUCGCGACCAGGAUGACAACGCUACGUACGCUUCGACCAGGUGGGUCCCGACUGUCAGGCACUUCCUUGCCUGCGAAGAUGUAGCUGGUGGGUCCCAGCAGUCAGGGGGGCAAAUUGUUUUGUUUUUUUGUUUGCCCGGACGCACUUCCUUGUGUGCGAAGGUGUAGCUGCUGGGUCCCAGCAGUCAAGGGGGCGAAUCAUUUUUUUGUCCGGACGCACUUCCUUGCGUGCGAAGGUGUAGCUGGUGGGUCCCAGCAGUCGGGGGGCGAAUCGUUUCUUUUGGACGCACUUUCUUGCGUGCGAAGAUGUAGCUGGUGGGUCCCAGCAGUCAGGGGGGCGAAUCGUUUUUUUCGGACGCACUUCCUUGUGUGCGAAGAUGUAGCUCGUGGGUCCCAGCAGUCAGGGGCGAAUCUUUUUUUUCGCGAAAUAUGGUGGCCCAUCCGGUGGGUCCCCGCUGUCAGGUGGAGGAAUAAUUAUUUUGCGCGUAAUAAGGAGGCACUUCCUUGCGGCUGCCGUGGACCCAACUGCCAGCCUCUCCACGUAUAGUCCACGCCCGAUGUAAGUCGUUCGUUGACCACGUUGACCAUGCCGCGCAGAGAGCACCAUUGCGGUGGACGACGACGAGGUCUAGGAAGGGGACAACACGGAGCCGGGGAAGACGCGACAGUGGAUGCACAUGCGGAGAGGAGUACAAGGGUUCACUGGUUCGGCUGCGCUGCCGUCGUCGCGGAAUAACAGGGGGUGUGGGUGAGUGGAGGGAUGGCCUGGCUAGCAGUGGGAGUAGUAGGGGGGCGGUGAGGCCUUCGCGGCAGCACAGCCGGCCACGGGAGGCAGGAGCAGGCGGCACGACCGGUGCUGCUUUGGGCGGCUGGAGCAAGAAGACCAGAGGUUGAAGAAGCACGACGGCCGUUGGAUGGACAUCGUACGGUCACUGCAGCUAGAAUCGUUUAUAUUGACUAUGUUGAGAAAGCCCUUGGUACGUCAACUUAGUAGGCCCUAAUGUCAGCUUCCGAAACGGUGCACCACAGAUGUCAGGGGGAGGAAUCAUUUUUUGGGCGGGUGAAGCUAGAAUAUCCGAGAUUGAAGAAGAAGCACGGCAUCCGUUGGAUGGACAUCCAACGGCCACUACUGCAGGAACCGUGUGUUGACUAUAAGUUGACAAAGCCUUGCAUACGCGUCAACUCUGUUUUUUAGGGGACACGUCAACUUAGUAAGGCCAGAAGUGUGUGGCAGAGAACAUAUAGCCCAUCUGAGAUUUGUAAGAAUGUGUAGCCCAUUUUUGAAUUCUAAUGGAAAUUACUACAGCCCAUUUACAGUUUGUUAAAAAUACAGCACAUUUCAACCAACCGUUCAAAACAGAAUUCAAUAAAAAUUUCCCACAUUUUGAUGGGAUCCGAAUAUUUUUAUCCCAAAAUUUCUAGUCAGAUUAAAUACAAUUUCAAUAUAAAUUUAUAUUAUGUAAAAAUCCAACGAAACAUUGCACUUGCAAAAAUUAAUGAAAUUAAAAUUUUCAAUAUCUAAAAAUAAUAUUUUAUAAAGUAAUCACUGUUUGGUGCAUUUUUUUAUAGUUACUACCCACUUUUUAUAAUUACAUCCCAUUUAUUAUUUCUUAAAGCUCAUUUUCUUGUUAAGCCUAAUGCAUCCCUCCUAGGAAAGAUUUGCAGCCGAGUGGGGCGGAGAAUAACAACUUGACCUUGCCUGGGUAUUCCUAAAAACAAGUAUAGAUGGGCUAGCCAUUUUCAGCUUGAAAAAAAUUAAUAUCUGGGCUGGAUAUCUGGCCUGGGCUAGACGGGCCACAGCCCGCCCAGUUAAUACCUGCAGUGAUGUUUUCGUUGUUGUUCAGAGGAGAAAAAUUAAUAUCUGGGGUAAACAUCGAAAAACUCUACAGUGCUCACACCUCAAAAACACAAAUACUGCUCGAGUUGCUUGGUCCCAGCUGUUGGCCGCUUCUUGUGCAAUUCUCUCGUUUAUUGACUACUCCCUCCUUUCCGGUUUAUAAUGCUCAAUUCAAAAAUCUCACCAAUCAAGGUAGAUGGCGAGUGGUGGAAUACUUUUUGUAGUUUUGCAAAAGCACCUAAUUAAUGCUCUUGUUAUCCUCAAAAAAUUAUGUUUAUCAAUGCAUUAAUUGCAAUGCAUGCAUGCAUAAAGUACAUGCAUUGGUCAAUUUUCUCUUAAUACUUGCAUGCAAUGAUUUAAUGCACCUUGGAAUCUGAACAUGUGAUAGAAAACAACCAAAUUGAGCCUUAUAAAAUGGAAAAACUAAAAUUUUGAGAUAAGCCCUAUAAACCGGAAAGGAGGGAGUACAUAGGUUGACAAUGGUGUGGGACCGUGAUGUCAGGAAACAAGGAGGAAGCAAAAUAAGGAGGCACUUGCGUACGUGAGGCUAUGGACCUAGUGGGUCCCCAUUGUCAUCCUCUCCAAGUAUAGUUAUCUCCUCGCCUGCGCGCGCUUUCCGCUCGAAACAGUCAGCGCCGGCCAUCCCGCUUCCCGGUGCAGGCGAUUGCUCCGCCUUCAAACGACACAAGUGUCGUUCGUCCGUCCAUCUGCCGCACACAUUAAUGGUGCAGGCGGCUACUCCAGCGCCACAUGUCCGUCUCUCCGCCCGCCCACCAUUGCUAUAUAAACUGCUGCGCCGGCCAUAGCCGCAGUCAUCCACAUCUGUUCCCUUUCUCCUGUCCACACCACUACUGCCCACCAUGGCUUCCUCGCGCUCCAGCGCUCUUCGGGACGGGCGGACAACGGACCACAAGGAGAUGGCAACCAUUGCUGUCGACCGGCUGGCCGGCAGGCAGGCGGAGGACGACGACGUCCCAAUGGAGAACAUGGUAGUCGAUGAUCCUGCGCCAAUCCCCUCCUACAUGCCAUCCUUGCCGGUGCAUUGCACCAUGACCAUCGGCGAGGCCCGUGCCCAAUAUAUGGACAGGGUGAGGCAGAUGCAUGAGGAGCAGUUCCGGGAGGCGCAGGCCGAUGCCGCCUACAACCACCAUCUCCUCCAGGAGCACCUGUAGGCGGAGGAGCAGAUCGCCGCAGAGCUGGCGAAGCAGGAGGCGCUGCUCGACUCGUACCGCUUCGCCCGCAAGGGCCGCCUCGAGCGAUGGCGUUACCGCAUGUGGGUGGCGGAGGCUGCGGCCGCCUACAAAGAGGCUAGCAAAGAGGGCGAUGAAGCGGGUGAGGCACUGUUUGGCGAGACCGAGGACGAGGUAGAGGAUAAUGCCGGCUCUGACGAGUCCCCGCUCCGCUGGCGUCGACGAGGCCCUGCUCUGCCGAGGCCCCGCGGCGGCAACAACGAGGCAGAGGACACCCCCGGCUCUGCCGAGGCCCGCAGCACCAACAAGAGGCAGAGGACACCGCCGGCUCCGCCGAUCCCCUGCCCUACCAACAAUGAGGCAGAGGACAUCGCCGGCUCAGCCGAGGCCCCAACCUGCCGGCAACGUGGGGGACAAUUUCCACUUCUCCGCUGAGGCGCCGCCCGCCGGCAACGAGACAGAGGACAUCACCGGCUCCGCAGAGGCCCCGCCCCGCUGCCAAUGAGGCCGCGCCACACAGAAAACGAGGAAGAGUAGAACACGGUAGGUCACCAUCGCUCGGGUCCAAGUAAGGCCACCGCUGCUACCCUCCGGUUGAAGCCAAACUAGGCUGGUGGACCAUUGACAGCCGGUUAGCUUCUUGGCGGCGACGUGGAGUCGGAGAGCUGCACUGGAGAAGAAUGCUGCUUUUACUUAACUGCUGGUGCAGUUGGCUGACUGACACGUGGGCCCAGCAUGCCACAUGUCAGUUACGCAACUGCACCUGCAGUUAAGUCAUUGAAGCUUCUGUUCGGCUCAGCGGGACACAGGUGGGUAGCUUCGGUUAAUUAAUUAUACCUCCAAUGCACCCUUUUUAGUUGAAGAAUGUAUGAAAUGCAAUGAAAUCCGGCAUGUUUAUAUGAAAUCUGACCGUGUAUGAACGAAUUUAUUUCGAUUAGUUCGAAUUCCUGUAUCACUGGCAUUGGAUGAACAUGCAAAACAAUACGUACUAGCAUUAUUCCCAGGGUGAUCACCUCGUUUGCAGCAGUUUCACAUUUACUCCCUCCGGUCCUUUCUAGUCUGCAUACAAGUUUUGUCUGCAGUCAAAGUAUCUCUACUUUGACCAAUCUUAUACAAAAAAGUAUGCACUUUCACAAUGUACGAAGUAAAAAGGAACAGAAGGAGUACAAAGAGUUUGAGCAGCUUUUUAGCGUUUCUGUACAUUGCAAUCAAACACAGAGGCCUGGCAAUUCAUAAAGAACAUUCAAAACAAUCGAUGAUUGUGCAUCUCAGCGACUCACAUGUCAGAGGAAAUAUUUAUUUCAAAACUAAAGAAUAAAGAAAAAAAUGAUCGAUGCUGCUGACAGCAAAGGGCGUCCCAUUCGAAAAUAUCAAACGCAUAUCUUGCUAAAAUCAAUGAGCAAAAUUUGACAAGGUUGUCCCAUUCCAAAAUAUCAAAUGCCUAGGAUUGUGGAAUGGGCAGGGUUUGCCAUCAGUUCGGACAUUGUCAUGACACCUCGUGCUAAAUAAACCAGCUGUUCUUUUUGUGCAGUUCCACCAAAAUCAGCCAAAUUCGCGCGUAGCUUGUAUGAUUUCGCCCUUAUAUGUUGCAACGCCUUGAACUUAUGGGCACCUCCUUUCUUGUGGUGGAAAUGAAUGAUUCGAUGUAUUCAUGAACAUUUUGUGCAGUUCCCAUUGAAAUCAAGCUGAGCACCCCUGUUUGAACAAAUACAAAAAAUUGAUUAGUAUAAAGCAAACUAUACUAUGAAUUGACAGUUUCCACAGGCACAUACAUGGUCCAUGUAGAGCACACUUUUAGAAAAAUGGAACUCACCAGAAAGAAUCCUAGAACAACAUUGUACUCGCGCAUCACAACAAAAACAUGGAGAUUUGUCAGUCCUUCUGAGCUGAAGUUAGUUUGGUCUUGUGGGGAGUAAUGUAACCAUCCUUCAACUGCUCCUUCUGAUGAGAAGAUAGACAUGGCUUUUUCAUCCUGGCAUAAUCGAAACUAGUCACUUCACGUACUCCAUAUUCUUCUUCAGAGGAAGAUGAUCCUGUUGUGCAAAGAGAAGAGGACUACUAAAUGCUAGCAUCCCUGUUUGCUCGAAAAAAAGGAAAGGAAAUAUUUAAAACAACACAGAUGAAGCACUUCUCAAGGACAAUACCACUUUUUCAUGACAGUAUCUAAACAGUAGCACAACACCAAUAGAGAUGACAAAGCUCAAUCAUAUGGAUGAAAUCAGUGGGCGAGUACCAACCUUUGUCAGGAGGCUGAUUGUGUAGAGCAUACAGAUGAAGCACUUCUCCGGAACCAUCUGUUGCUAUCUACGGGGGUGGCCAUGCUUACUAUAUACUCCUCGAUUAGUUUAAUGUUUCCAACAUCUUCUUGUGCAGUUCCACUAAAACAUAUGGUAUCUUCAAAGAAGAUCCCUAUUUGCACAAGUAGAGAUAAUUACGUAUGGCAUCAAAUCAGUGGCAAAACAAUUACUCAUUCCAGCCAUAACAAUAAACUAAGAUGCAAAACUAUGUCAUUACUUGUGUCAUCACAGUUCCAGUGCUUCAUUACAGCACCAGGAGUUGAUUUUUGUUUUUCUUCCGCUUGUUCUUCCCCUUCAUCACUUGGUUCAAUAACAGACAAGCUUCGCCUUCAAUGUAAGAUUUGGCAUGUCAAUUAGGGAGCACAAGUAUAGUACUAAACUUAAUUUUCUGAUGAAAGUGGCAAAAUACAGGCCAUCAGUUGUGAAAUAUACUUAUCUCACCUCAAUGGGAUAUUACGGUGCACAUACAGAUUGGAAGUCUUGUCUCCAUUUGUGCAGUUCACUAAAAUCAAGCAACAUUAUCGUACAAGUAGCACAACAUAUGAAAGCACACUGCAGAAUCAUGUGAAAGAAGGCUAGUACUGACCUCUCAUGAUGCGGAAUUCAAACAACUCACAAGAAGAAUAUCUGAACCAAAUUUGGCUUAACAGAUAGGAAGUAAGAUCUCCUCUUGUGCAGUUCCACUAAGAUCAAGCAAUCAAGCAACAUUGUCGGUGUGACAUUUUGGUUGAACUGCAAAAAACACUCUUAAAACAAAAGUGUUUUGUGCAGUGCAACAAAAGGUCACAAUGGCAACGAGGUGAAGUAGAUAAUCCUGUUUACAUAGAGGUGCAAAGGAAACAAUUAGUGGUUAAUAACAGUGGAUGACACAGAAGCCAACAAAGAAGCAUCUACCUUAUCUAAAUGGGAAAGAAAGCAAGACAGUAGCACUUCUCAAAUGGUGGCAUUGAUUAAUAUUAACAUAUAGAUUAUAUUAACAAUAAAAUUCGUUAAACAUGUAAUUUGCUUUUAACUGUGGCAUUGCAUCAAUUUUCCAGCGGCAUUAUUAGAGGGUGUUUGUUUACAGGGACAUUUUGGUAUCGGGACUAAAAAAACUCCGUGUCAGUCCCAUCUAAAGCAAACAGGAGGGACUUUUAGGGACUAAAAGUGGGCAUUUGGGACUAAAGAAAGAAGACCCCGAGAGAGUCUUUUUGGGACUUUUUCCAAUAGUUGCCCCUGCCACGCCUCGCACCUUGUUUCUAUUAGUUCAUUACUAGGGGUAACAUGGUCUUUUAGCAUAUCAUUUAAUAACCUCUAGUCCAUGUUUAUUCCCUGGAACCAAGCAGGUAGGGACUGGGGAGUUUUUAACCAAACAGGGCCGUAGAUUAACAACAGCUAAUGAGUUGCACGGGACAGUGGACGCACCAGCACCAUGUGCAUCUACCGAUGUUCUGUGGUCAUGCACAGUCUAUUACAACAAAGAACAAACAACCAAGGAGCAUAUUUGUGUUGGUCCCAGUUUUGUUAUCUUUAGACACAUUUCCCUAUGUGAGCGCAGCAAAUCUAGUCCUGCUCAAACUCUACAGCCUUGUCCCUUACUUUCCUUUUUGAACUAGUACUUUCGCCCCUUCCUUUCCUCUUUGAACCACGUCCUAGAUUUAUGCUAUACAACUUUCCCCACUACUUUCCCCCAUUCCUUUCCUCUUUGAACCACGUCCUAGAUUCAUGCUAUACAACUUUCCCCCUUCAUUUCCUCUUUGAACCACGUCCUAGAUUCAUGCUAUAUACAACUUUUCCCACUACUUUCCCCCACUCCUUUUCUCCUUGAACCACGUCCUAGAUUCAUGGUAUACAUACAGCUAGAGCAAUGCAUGUGGAGUAGGUAAAAUAUACCUUAAGGUUCUUGGGGCGUGGUUCGGUGGGCAACGGGACCAAGAAGAAGAAGAAGGGGUCAGAGGCCCUCCCGCGCCGCCGCUGGGUGGAAAGUGAACAGCUGCGCCGGUAGUGGAUUCCCUCCCUCGCCGACGACGACAGCGUUAAGCCUCCUUCCCUUCCUGGCGGACGGAUCCUGCCGGCUCUUUGAGCAGCAGUGAGGGGAGAGAGCGGCCAACGAUGUCUUGUUUUGAUCUGCAGAGGGCGAGAGAGUGUGAAUAGAGCAACUACAAGCACUGAGGCUCCAGCGGGAGAGGGCGAGAGAGUGUGAAGAGAGCAACUACAAGUGCGGAGGCUCCAACGUGUAUAUAUAUACUGGAGAGAGAGUGUGAAGCAUGCAAACCCUAGAAAACAUUUUGACCAGUCAAAGAAUCCUCCUAGCAAAAAUUAUGCUCAAGUGUAGUUAUCAAACCCGAGACCUCAAGUUUGAUGAGCGAACAGGCUAACCAGCUACACAACCCUUCCGUUAUGUUUAACGAGAGGAAAAUAACCUUUUAUACAUUCCUGCAUUCGUGUGACAAGCAUGCCGUGUUUUUUUGUGUGUGUGGGAGUCAUUGGGAUUUCAAUCAUAAUCGUGUCAUGUGGCUUUGGUGGUAAGACUAUCCACAGUGGUGCAGAAAUAAUGCAGCCAUAGUCACCUUACCUCUCUCCAUGUAGGACGUUGGGUCCCACCAGUCAGAGGGUGAAACAAAACAAAUUAAUAAGAAAAAAUAAAAGCGCCAGCGGUGUAUCUUACCUCACACAUCUCACUACUGCUCGGGAACACUGUCCAAUUGAUCCCUCUGUUCGCUCACAUACUAUUUUAUGUGAAUCCUUAUUAUAACAUGCACACAAAUUUUGGGCACUUGUAUUCGACUUAAGUCAGUGUGCCACCGUAUCUCGUAUACUUACUACUCCCUCCGUCUAGGUGUAAUAAGUCACAUUAGAAGGUGCAACGGGACCAAGGUGCAUGCGUGUGCGUGUGUGUGUUAAACAGCAUGUGUGUUAGAGAGUGCGACAGAUCGACCUACUCCUACAGAGACAUGGUGUGUAGUGUAUGAUUUUAGCCGUGAGAGUCGGUGCAUCCUCUCAUUUCCGGGCGUGUCUGGUAGGGACAUGCGGACAGCUGCCAUGCCCGCUCCUGACCAGCCUGGCCCACCCAAAGCCCCUCCAUCGCCCGCGCGCGCUUCCCGCCUGAAACGGUCAGCGCGCUCCAAAUAAUCGGUGCCGCAUUCAUGCCCGGGCAGAGCGGACGCGACCUCUCACUAGCGCAAGAGUGAUGGUUGCUUCGUCCGUCCAACUUACUGCUGGGUCUAUGUGAUUUGACGACUCAUUGGUCUUUAUUACUGAGGUGGUAGGACUGCUGGAUGUCCCACGCUUUCGACGAAAGGAGGUACUACUACUACUAGAUUAUAAUUUUCUCCAUUCUUACAGCGGAGGAGUGCAAGAGCAGUGAAAACACGCAUGCUCAGUGAUUACAUGGCCCACCUCACACUAUCACCAUGCGACACCUAACUCUUUACAUAGUACUCCCUCCAUUCCUAAAUAUUACUAGAUGAGUCCCCGCGCAUUGCCGCGGAACAGCGGUAUAUCUCUCUGCGCAAAAUUAUCAAUUUCAUAGAACAAAAAAAA
rnacentral:lncRNA from 1 species